rnacentral:rRNA from 1 species
CAGUAGCCGCGGUAAUACGGAGGGAGCUAGCGUUGUUCGGAAUUACUGGGCGUAAAGCGCACGUAGGCGGUUAUUCAAGUCAGAGGUGAAAGCCCGGGGCUCAACCCCGGAACUGCCUUUGAAACUAGAUGACUAGAAUCUUGGAGAGGUCAGUGGAAUUCCGAGUGUAGAGGUGAAAUUCGUAGAUAUUCGGAAGAACACCAGUGGCGAAGGCGACUGACUGGACAAGUAUUGACGCUGAGGUGCGAAAGCGUGGGGAGCAAACAGGAUUAGAUACCCGCGUAGUCCCUGUCUCUUAUAC